AUGAGUUGAUUCACUGAACUCAAAUCAGUGCAGCGAACAAGACUGCAGGUGUGACUGUGAGGAUGACUUACAAAGCACAGUUUGGAGCAAUUCUUGCAAGCAAAUUAAAGCAGUGCAUUCUAUUUAGCUGAGAUUUGGCACGUCCCAGCUUCCGUACAUCCCUUGAGGACCAUGCUAGUCAAAAGGUUUCAAUACACGCUGAGCUCUUUGCGAACUGCGUUUCCAUCGCUGUGAUUUCUUCCCGACAGCGCUGCAUUAGGGCAGUUUGACGUCACGGACUGUAUCUGACUGUACGCAGCGCGUGCCGGGGAGCGCGUGCUCCGAGCACAUGGAAAAGGGCUCGAGACGAAGUGCCCGAAGAAUAACUCCACACCGGAAUAUAACAAUAACAACUUUGAUGUAAAGCAAACCGGACCUUCACAACAGCUGCCAGUCAGCCUGCCGUUCUCUCGGAUGCCUGAAACCGGAGCCACAAACGAAUCACGCCAAACUUUUAAGGAGAAGACCUACGUGCUUUGCCCCCCGUGAGCCAACAGCUCCUUGUCAUCAAAGUCAAUGAUGCUGCAUUGCUGUGAGAAGAUGAGGACCUGCUGUUGGCUGCAGACAGCUGGCUUUUACACGGUGGGCGUAAAAAUGUGUAAAAGGGUCGUGUUAACAUGGAAUGUGCAAACAGGAUCCAUCAGCAUCCAUCCAGGAACACUUGGGUUUCAUUCCAGAGUAACACUUAAUAGAUCAAGUACUCUGACAUGUCACAUGAAUGGGAAUGUGCCUUCAACAGCAGUAUGGAAUCGCUAUUUUUAUUCCGGAUCAUGACGGAGGAAGUGUUUAAUACAUGUGCCUUUAACUUGACAUUGAUGAUGAAAAUAA